CCCAGCUACUGGGAUCUCUUAACCCAACUAUGGAUUUGAAGUGGCUACAAUCCAGCUCACAUCUUCCCGUCUUCCUGGCUCAGCUUACUCAAGUCCUGUCUCCAGAGUUGUUACAAGCCACUCCUCCUAGUCACUGAAAAAUCCAAGAGGCUUCUAGACCUGAAGCUGCUGCUCCUAAUUUUUGUCCAGCCUUCAGACACCCCAGGUCUCAGCGCAGACAGCCUCUUGGAAGUCAUCCCCUCUUCACUUCACAGAAAAACUAAGACAAACCAAGGCAGGAAGCUGGCCUAUGGGGUGAUGGAACCUUUGGGGAAAGAGACCUCCAGGCCCUCAGGCUACUCUGCUGGCUCCCACAACUGCCACCUUGGGACCAAGGCAAAUCUGACAUUCCGACUACCCCGCCCUGCUGCACCACAAGAGGAUGUUCGAGCCUGACAUUGUAAGCCAGAACAAAAACCUGUGCCUGGGAGGUCAUAGGUCCCAUUAGGGAAGCAACUUCUGUGAUUUUCUUUUUUCCAGAUGGAUGCGAUAUGCCGCCAAACUGCCUUCUAAACAUGUGUUUAUGCCUACGUCAUCAGCUUCGUGACUGGGUAAAGCGUCUGACAACACGUGGCUGUUACUGUGGCACUACGGCCCAUCUCUUAGCCCUAAGUGGACACCUAUAGUCAACCCCUCCAAGGCUCAGAAAUCAUUGCAGAAGACAGAGGCAGGAGGAAUAUAAGAGCUGGACAACUCAAAAUCGCUCCAGGAAGUCCCUGAAACUGAGCAGAUGCACUAGGUCCCUCCCUGCCAGAGUAAACAGUGAGCUGAGAGCCCUUCUCUGAUGGAAGGAAGCUGAGCUGUGGAAACCUGCCCAGCUGCCUAGAAGAGGUUUAGAUCAACUGAAGCACCUAGAAAGGACACUCUCCAACCUACUGAGUUGUCUGCAGGCUGUGCCCCAGGUUCCCAGCAUUGUGAGCUGUUACCCAUGCUAGGGUUGGUUUUGGUGAUGCAGCUGUCUGAGUCCUUUCUGCUCCUGUGAGUAACUCACCCAUGUUACUUUACCACAAUUCCAAUAAAACUCAUUGGUUCACCA
rnacentral:lncRNA from 1 species